rnacentral:rRNA from 1 species
AGCUGGAAUCGCUAGUAAUCGCGGAUCAGAAUGCCGCGGUGAAUACGUUCCCGGGUCUUGUACACACCGCCCGUCACACCAUGGGAGCCGGAAAUGCCCGAAGUCAGUGACCCAACCGCAAGGAGGGAGCUGCCGAAGGUGGAGCUGGUAACUGGGGUGAAGUCGUAACAAGGUACC